CAUAGUAGUUUGCAACAUUUCAUUUAAUUAAAUUGGAAUUCCUUAAAUCAGUUUCGUUAUAAGUUGUUUACUAAAUUGUGAAAGUAUGUUAUUUAUACCGUGGUGUUAAACUGUGCAAUACAUGUUCUUUCAAAACUCGAGUAUAAAACACAGUUUUGCACUAUAAACAGGAAAAAAACACCAAAGUAUUGAUCACGGAUUUAAACUUUGAUCUGCAAUAGUUAUACUCUGACAAAUAUGACAAAUAUGAACAACACAUGAUUUUACUGAUUGGACUAAAACACACAUUCAUGUAUGGUCACAAGUGUUCCUCGCGCUACACAUGACGAAUGUUAAUUUCCUGAAAUAAUUGUACACUUGUAGAUGGAAAUUUAGAUACUUAAUAUGUUUCAUUUUAGAUUUCAACAAAGUUUACAUAUAUAUUUUCCAGGAGCUAUUAGUUAAAGUCAUAUUAGAUUUACGGACACGAAAAACAAUUCGUUGGUUGUGCAAUCAGGGCAAAUCUACAAUUGAUCAGAUGUAUGCUACUAUGAAACCUGGAUGUGAGGAAUUGGUGGUCUUUUUUCUAACCGCUUGUUGUUUACAAACUGUCGUUUCGGUCAAGUUGGAAUCUUUCUCAGAACUUAUUCAUGGUCAGCCUGUCAACAUAACGUGUUUUGUCGAUGGUAGUUUCCAAUUUAAUUUUACUAAUUGGAGUCAAGACACGAUAAAUAUUGGUGGAUGUGCAUCUCCCCCAACUAGGAAUUGUUUUAUGUCAUAUUUACCUAUGAAGAUGCUUUACAACAUAACGUCUACAUCCGAUGGUGGUAUUUUGACGAUAUUCAAAUGGAAUAUGGACCAUUAUGGCACAUAUAAGUGCUUCGACACAUUUCACCCAGAAAAAACUUCUAGAAUAAUUCUACCAAGAGAAACAGGCGGAAGCUAUUCUUACACCAUCUGUAAAUCUUUACUAUUGAUGUGCCUUUUAGCUCAUCGGAGCACAACUUGGUGGAAGUGAUCACCUGCGGUUCAUAAAUGUGUGCGAAUCACACUGGCUGUCAGUUUGAACAUACAGUACAGCUCACGCAAAACCAACAAAGUCUUCUGUUAACGUAUUUUCGCCGCGUAUUUACUCGGCAUGAUGCCGAGGCACUCGGCGAAAUUUCGCGGAGUGACGCCGCGUCUGUUGAUUCGCGGAGUAACGCCGCGUAGAUGCGGCGAUUCGCCGAGUAUAACUAUUUACAAAUAUUGAUUGUAUACUAAUCUAUAACACAUGUUAUCGAAAUAUACAAACAUACACAGAAAAUACGCUGUGCGAUUGUUAACAUUUCUCUAUAUCUGCAUUCAUUUAAUUAAAUUAUCAAUCGGAUGUCAUCUGUCAAAACAAUUAUUGCGUAUGUCGAUAACUAGAUCUAUAUUGAGUUAAAGUUUAGACAGUUAAAUCCCGUAGAUUAUUUCGGAAACGAGACUUGCUUUAAACGUCUGUCAUGUCGCCAAAAUUGUUGCUCAAUAAUUUAAAGAAAAUAAAUUUAGUAUUAGAUACACAUUUUACAACAUGUACAUGAUUCUAGGCUUGUUAUUCUUUAGCAAGGCAACCACAAUUCUAAAGAUGGCUGCCAGUGCAGCAACCAUCUGCGAAAAAAGAGAGACAUAUUGUUGUUGCUUUGUCUAAUUAUCUCUAUAACAUUAAUAUGAGGAUAAACAGUGCACCCACAUCUCAACCUGUGCUUUGCGACACACUCUUUAUAAAUUUGAAUGGGUUGUGUGCAUUUCAAACUUGCGGUAUAAAAAGCUAUAACAUAAUUUUGAAAACUAAGAUUAUGCAAUAGCGAACAACUUCAGUGCCUUCAGCGAUUUGAUAUAAUGUUUUAUUUGACCGUACGAUUAUUAAACCUUUAACAUAACAUAUUUUUAUAAAUCUUAAACUUGUAAAAAUUCCAAAGUAUGUAUGUUAUGUUCAAAUACCCGUUAUAAUAUAAAAAUGAAGCUUGCACUCUGGUAUAUAUUAUUGGGAAGCAUUGGCCAUGGCAUGUAUUACUAGUAUGUAUUUUUCUAUUGUUGAAGAUCGUGUACCUUAAACAUGAUGAACGGGAGGGCUUGUGCGCUUGAUAUUUCGUUUAUGUUAAUACACCCAAUAUUUAUAAGACCCAUGGCGAACGCCUCAUAAGUUUAAAUUGUACUUGUGAAAUCUGAUACGGCUUUAGAAAAUCCCGGUCUGUUGCAAUCGAUACCCCUGCAAAGCUUGUUUUUGUAUAUGAUAAAAUAGGUUUGCAAGUACGUCCUUUAAUUUUUGGGCUUGCUGUUUUAAGAUUUUGUGAAAUGGGAAGAACAUAUUUGCAAUGCCAAUUAUUUUCAAUGAAUAACUUAAGUCGGGCAGACAUAGCUGAUAUCUUAUUAACUACUUUUAUGUAUAAAACUUCCGUGUGUAACGCAAAUGCUUGAUAUAUAUUUGUUAUUCCAAUUUUCGGAACUGGACAUACCGAUCGUUAAACUGAUACUAGAUUUGCACACUCUUAAAUAAAGAAAAGAAAAUUCCCCUACAAGCUGGCCAUUAUUUACGUUAUUGAUAAUACACUUAAAGUUUUUAGAUGUGUAUUUAUAUUCUUUUCCUACGAGACAUGGUUUACUGGGAUAUACACGUAAUAGGAUGAGUUAUUUUAUUAAGUGCGAUCAGUUAUCAUUUUCUGUUUGAAACAAGCAUCAUAAAAUCGAUUAAUUGUAUAAUAGAAACACAUAACAUAUUUUUAUUAUAUAUAUUUAUGGUUUUGAAUUCAUGUUGCAUUUUAUUUUGUUUGUUUUUUUAAUAAAAAAAGUGUAUAUCCUAUGUACUGAAAAUGACAUUAAGUCUCGUCUUAUUAUCUACCAUGUUGUACUUUAUAUAAUCGUCUUUUCCAUAAACUCAUUAUAAGUAUUAUGGAUAUGUGAAUAAUAAAGCACAAAAAUAUAGUACCACAUAUAAAUGGGGGACUAGUGCCGCACCUUCAUAUAUUGGCAAUACACCCCAUUCGUUUUCUGAUUUCAUUCAAAAGUGUAAGCUCCCUUUAACAGGCCUACUUUUAUUCCCGCAUCAUAUUACAAGCUUAAUGUUUACAGCACACAGCGGUAACAUGUUACGAAACUGCAACUAAAUUGCAUGUUAAACCCUCUUAAAAAUGCAAUAAUUUAUGUCAAGGCCUCAAUUUCAUUGUGGAAAAGUAUACCGUACUUAAGCAUGGCCUACGUGCAUGUUAGCGCUGAAAACAUGACAGUGCGCCGUUAGUUUUCAAACAAACAUUUGAAUACGUAUUGUAUCUUUGCAAUCUGAUACAACGCCCGGGAAUGGCGGUCUGAUAAAAUCAAUAUCCCAGCCAAGCCUGCUCUACAUUUAUAUAUUUUGCAUACCAGCAGGCUGAAUAUAGUUUCUUAAUUGUCCAUGACAACAGGAAGAUUAAUAUCGAAUGUGUAGAAUUUCCAACGACUAACCAAGAGAGUAUUAACACUUAAGAACAAUUAAACAAGUGCAUGCCAUGGUGGUCUGAUGUGUCAUUAUGCAAGGAUAUUUAAUACGUGUUUCUUUCGAUCAUAUUAUUUUCCUGCCAUUGUAAAUGUUUUGCAAUAUGCAUUGUAUUAUACAUCAAGCCUUUUCAGACAACUAUUUGUAUGAUCAAGAAUAAGGAACAUUCAUGAACAACACGCUUUACAUUGUAGUUAGGAGCUUUAAUCCUGUUACUUGCAAACGCCUAUGCGCCAUAGUGUGGUUUUCAGUAGUUAUGUGAAUCACAUUAUAUUACAUGUUAACUUGUUAAACAGCCAUUGUAUUUAAGUAGGUCAUGGUUGUAUUGAUUGCUGAAUAUUUGUUUGGAGAGGCUUCUUAAGUUACAGGCGCGAUUAUGUAAAUUGAUUAUUUAAGUCUAAAAUAGUGUUCAGGUGAUCAUUUUCGUCGUCAUUUUAAAGCUUUUUGGUAAUGCGAUCAUUUUAAGUGUGGCGGUUAGAGCAGGUAUAAAUACCAAAUGUUUCAAUGCAUAUUUUGCCAAAAAUCAUGAUAAAGGUUUACCACUGAAAACUUCACGUAUCAUUGCCUUAGAUACGUAUAUGUAAGGCAAACGUAUAAUGGUGUUACGAUUACAACCUUUUGGUAAUUCAUGACACGCAAGGAAUUUUGUAAGAAUAAUGUAAUGACAUUGUUCUUAUUUUCUUAACGUAAUGUUCAACACAUGAAUUUGCGGGGUACAGAAUUCGCGCUAUUUCGAUUGCCAAUGUGCUCCUGCGAGUAACUCGCAGUCUGUUCAGGUUUAAUGUUGUUAGCUGCUCAUCAGUAUAUAAUGUUUGUAGAUGAAGGAUUAAGAACUUGAAUCGAGUAAGAAAGGUCUUAAAUUAAAUAUAACUUUCCAAGGGACUACAAAUGCGUGAAAAUACGUAUCUAAGUGGUAAAGGGUUAAAUUGAAGCCUAUUAUGCUUGUUCGAUGUACAUGUAUACACGUCAGUUUUAAUGUUUAGCGGUCCACUUCUACAUCUAUGUUCAAAUGCGGUCGUGAUAUUGAACAUAAUCAGCAUCAUCAUCAUCAUCAGCAGCAGCAGCAUCGGCGGCGGUGGCGGGGCGGCGGCGGCGUCGUGGUCGUCGUCGUCAUUUUCAUCACCAUCAUCAUUUGCAUAUGAUACUUCACGUGUCUGAUUAGCUGAAAUACAAUAAUGUUCUGUGAACAGCAGUAUUUGGCAUACGUAUGUGUUUUUUAUGCCCCCCCCCCCCGAAGAGUGGCAUGAAGUUUUUGAACUGUCCGUCAAGCCGUCCGUCUGUCUGUCUGUCUGUCCGUCAGUCCGUCCGUCCGUCCGUCCGAACACUUUAUCAUUGGUCAUAACUUUUGCAAUAUUGAAGAUAGAAACUUGAUAUUUGGCAUGCAUGUGUAUCUCAUGGAGCUGCACAUUUUGUGUGGUCAAAGGUCAAGGUCAUCCUUCAAGGUCAAAUAUCAAAUAUAUGGCUUCAAAGCGGCGCAGAAGGGGGCAUUGUGUUUCUGACAAACACCUCUCUUGUUAGUUGUUCGCUUGCGAACAAUUAAGGUUAAGAGCUAGUUUUGCAAGUCGGUCUGCUCUUAACUACCCUAAGAACGAUGACCACCGCAUCUGCUUGUGCACACUGAUUAGCCUGUUUAUGCUUCACCACUGGUACACUGCAGACAGUGAGUGUGUGUAUGUAAUCAAUAGUGUUUAACAGCCUCUGCGACGACAUUGGCCAGUUUGUCAUUGAAAUCUGUACAUAUUGGCUGCGUUCAGGGAAAACGGGGCCUUAUGUAUGUCCAAUAAGUGGUGUCCUGUGCACACUGAUUAGCCAGUGCAGUUCGCACAAGCUAAUCAAGGACGACACUUUUUUAUUCUAUGGUGUUUUUCGUUUAGAGACAGUCUCUGGUACUGGUUUGACAAUUUAUGCAUAUGCAUUAAGCCCUGUUUUCCCAAGAAGCUGCAGUCAGUAUACAAUGCACUAAUUGUUUCAGUAAUGAAGGAAUUGAAACAGCGUAACGGUAGCGAUACAGUGUGUUUAAAUUAUAUUUUAUUAAGAGGAAUUGUCCGAACGUAGUUAAUCUACAUUUAAUAAACAUCAUGAUUUCGGAACUUGUAACCAGUUUCUAUCCCAGGUAAAUUAUAGUUUAUAAGAUUGUUCGCCGAGUGACUCAGCGUCAUAUCACCAACAAUUUCCUCGGCAUCAUGCCGAGGCGUGCCGCGGCGUGUCUCGGCGAACAGACACGGCGACUCGGCGACGAGAUGGUCGAUGCCGAGUCGACUCCGCGAAUAAUUGAUGUCGUCAAACUCCGCGGAUCGCGGAAUUUGUUGGUUUUGCGUGAGCUGUACUGUAAAGGCUGUCAAACAUUAUUCAGCAUUAAUUUUAUCCCCUCCGAUCUUGUUAAUUUGAGUCUAUAAACAACUCUUCUUUGUAUACACGUUUUACAAACCGGCAUAAACAAGUCAAACACCUA